AUGAUGGCACUCCGACUAGUUGCUCUUACAUCGACAUGGAGGUUGGUUGUUGUUUGGGGUGACAACCACGACUCGAAGCUUGACCUCCCUUCUUCAUCUUCGAUGUUGGAGGGGGCUGAAUUUGAUACAAUGUUUGAAUCCCUCGACCGACGAUCCUUUGUGAUUCAAGAGAUCACUUUGAUUUUGGGAUGCCGGUCCAUCAUGGUUGAAGUGUUGAUGAGUUUUCUUCCACCACAAAAAGGUUUGGCCGGUUCCGGUAGAAAGCGGCAGCGGCGAAACAUCACCCACUCAUUCCGAAGGUUGAAGACGAUGGAUCGAUCCCCUUGGGCCUCUCUUGUAAUUUGGCUUUAUGCAUGGGUGUUUUUGUAA
rnacentral:rRNA from 1 species